AUUGAACGCUGGCGGCAUGCUUUACACAUGCAAGUCGAACGGUAACAGGCCUUCGGGCGCUGACGAGUGGCGAACGGGUGAGUAAUGCAUCGGAACGUGCCCAGUCGUGGGGGAUAACGCAGCGAAAGCUGUGCUAAUACCGCAUACGAUCUGCGGAUGAAAGCGGGGGACCUUCGGGCCUCGCGCGAUUGGAGCGGCCGAUGUCAGAUUGGGUAGUUGGUGGGGUAAAGGCUCACCAAGCCAACGAUCUGUAGCUGGUCUGAGAGGAAGACCACCCACACUGGGACUGAGACACGGCCCAGACUCCUACGGGAGGCAGGAGUUGGGAAUUGUGGACAAUGGGCGCAGGGCUGAUCCAGCAAUGCCGCGUGCAGGAAGAAGGCCUUCGGGUUGUAAACUGCUUUUGUACGGAGCGAAAAGGCUCCCUCUAAUACAGGGGGCUCAUGACGGUACCGUAAGAAUAAGCACCGGCUAACUACGUGCCAGCCGCCGCGGUAAUAC
rnacentral:rRNA from 1 species